UUUAUACCUUCCCGACGAUGCGAAACUCUGUUUCCUUCUUCUCUCUCUAACAUUCGCCAACAUUUGAAAUUUUUUGUCCUCACUGAAUCACUGAUUAUAUAGCGACGAGAUAAUUCGGUAUUAUCACAAUCAAAGUUAAAUCUCUGCUCCUCUUCAUUUGUGUGGAUUCAGGUGAUUUGGAUUAACAACUUUGGGGUUUCUAAAGAUCAAACCUUCCGAUCAUAACUCGAAUAGAUAACGUUUGCAGUUUCUUAUUUGCAAAUAGUAGCUGGGCAUAUACUGCAGCUUUAGUUUUCGUUUCUCUUUGGCGUUGGCAGCAUGAGUCUCAUUUUAGAUCUGGAUGAUUGGGUGUCAAUGGAAAGUGAUGAAGAUAAUGAAAUCAUUCAAAAAAGUGAUGAAGAUAAUAAAAUCAUCAAAAAGGACACAGGAUGAAUAUGAUAGACUUUCCAAAGAUUCUAAUUUAUAUGGUCAUGCUUUUGAAUUUGACGAUGAGGGUGAUCCGAAGGAAACAUCAGAGGCGCCAGGAAAAAGAGCGGAAGUUGACAUGGGUAUCGAAGACUGAGCUUCAACAAAGAAAAGCAACGAGAAAAAGAUGUCUGAAGGUGAUGUAAAGCCUAUGGAGGAGGACAAAUUAGCAGCCAAUAAAGCCAUCAAUGGGGAUGGUUCGGAGGAGGAUAUGUCAACUGAUAUGAGGAAGAAGGCAAAGCGCAAGUCACAAGAGGAUGGGGUCGAAUCAGAGCAGAGCGACAGUAUGAAAACUGCCAUUGAAGUGAAGAAGAAAACCAAGCCUAAGUGAUGCUUAAAGUAAAUAUAUCUUUGUUGGUAAGUUAAUCAUCUAUAGAGAGGUGUUCUAGCAAGUUGUGCCUCUGUAUGUGUUUUAAGUUUUAAGCUCCCGUUAGUCAGCCUAUUGUAGAAUAGUACUAUAUGAUUUGAAGUCCUGGUUUGAAGCAUAUAUGAUGCAGCUUCCAUAAAAUUAUGGGUUUUCUAGCACCCGCUUACUGAUUAAUAGUACUAUAUGAUUUGAAGUUCCUGGUUCAAGUUACAAUGGGUCGACUGCCAGAUCAGUUUAUGCCAAGGGUUCAAGAUAUUGGCUGCUUCAUGGGGCCGAGGAUGAGGAGUUUGAACCCAAUGCUGUUGGUCUGUUGAUUGUUGAAUUCAUUGUCGGUACUGAAAAGUUUAGAGUUAUCUCCGUCCCUGACUUAUCAUCAAUGACAUUCGUCCUCCUUAUAAUUUUGGUAAUGGUUUAAUGGAAGUAGAUGGCCGUCUAGUUCUGUUAGCUAGAAAAAUACGUCAUACGAUUUCAACAGUUGGAUAAAAAAUGAGAGCACUUCUAUGAAAAUGUGUAAACUGAACCGUAAGCAUGAUGGAGACAAGGGAAAGGCGAAUAUGAUGGGUGCUAGUAGUGGUUCGUGUAGCAGCAGUGACUACUGCUGGAUGGAAGAUUCUUUCCUAAUGCCACAAUUUGAUUGGAAACCAGAAGAUCCCAAUUGUGUGAUACCAAUUCCAGGGACAGACCUAUUCAUCGUAAGAUCAUCUGAUGCUCGUUCCUUCUACUAUUACAACUGGAGGCAAAAGAGUCAUAGUGACAGGUUUGAGUUCAAUGGAUUCAACUCGUUUGUCGAAGAGAAAGCCAGCUACGGACCAUUUCGUUUCCAAUGUCUUGCCUUUCAAGAAAAUCUUUUUCCUGUAAAAUAGUUUGUGCGUAUAGCAGGACUUCUUUGUUUCUUACCAUACUCAAGGACUAAAAUUGACUAAUGGAGCCAGUAGGAGGAGUACAAACCUUGAUGAUACAUACCUGAAUUAUUCUUUCAAUUAGUCUUUCUUUAUAAGAAUUUGUGAUUACUGCACGACGAAUGUACUAUUUGCAAUUUCUUAUUUCCAAAUAGUAGCUGGGCAUCAUAGGUAUGGCCAUAUACUGCAGCUUCCGAAAAUGAUUGGUUUUCUAGCACCCACUUAUUGAUUGAUAGUGUAUGAUUUGAAUUUCCUGGUUCAAGUUCUAACGAUUUCUGCCUGGGCAUUCAGUCCUUCCGUCUUUAGUUCUUUUUUCUUUUGAUUCAAUGUACAUUCAAGAAUUCUAGAUAGAAAACCCAUAGUUUUGCCGGUCCUACGCACCAAAGUCUUUAUCUGCUCUUUAUGUAUAAAAAGUUUGUUGUUUGUUGCCCCAUCUGUAAUAAGUACCUUGUCCCAUCCCAACCGUAUUCUUUGUACCCAUUCUAAUAUUUCAAUAGUUCCUCUUAUAUCUCGCAAGAUUUUCC